GAGGAAUAUUGGUCAAUGGGCGCGAGCCUGAACCAGCCAAGUAGCGUGCAGGAUGACGGCCCUAUGGGUUGUAAACUGCUUUUGUAUGGGGAUAAAGUCAAUCACGUGUGAUUGUUUGCAGGUACCAUACGAAUAAGGACCGGCUAAUUCCGUGCCAGCAGCCGCGGUAAUACGGAAGGUCUGGGCGUUAUCCGGAUUUAUUGGGUUUAAAGGGAGCGUAGGCCGGAGAUUAAGUGUGUUGUGAAAUGUAGACGCUCAACGUCUGACUUGCAGCGCAUACUGGUUUCCUUGAGUACGCACAACGUUGGCGGAAUUCGUCGUGUAGCGGUGAAAUGCUUAGAUAUGACGAAGAACUCCGAUUGCGAAGGCAGCUGACGGGAGCGCAACUGACGCUUAAGCUCGAAGGUGCGGGUAUCGAACAGGAUUAGAUACCCUGGUAGUCCGCACAGUAAACGAUGGAUGCCCGCUGUUGGUACCUGGUAUCAGCGGCUAAGCGAAAGCAUUAAGCAUCCCACCUGGGGAGUACGCCGGCAACGGUG
rnacentral:rRNA from 1 species